AGCGAACGCUGGCGGGCAGGCUUAACACAUGCAAGUCGAACGGGCGUAGCAAUACGUCAGUGGCAGACGGGUGAGUAACGCGUGGGAACGUACCUUUGGUUCGGAACAACACAGGGAAACUUGUGCUAAUACCGGAUAAGCCCUUACGGGGAAAGAUUUAUCGCCGAAAGAUCGGCCCGCGUCUGAUUAGCUAGUUGGUGAGGUAACGGCUCACCAAGGCGACGAUCAGUAGCUGGUCUGAGAGGAUGAUCAGCCACAUUGGGACUGAGACACGGCCCAAACUCCUACGGGAGGCAGCAGUGGGGAAUAUUGGACAAUGGGCGCAAGCCUGAUCCAGCCAUGCCGCGUGAGUGAUGAAGGCCCUAGGGUUGUAAAGCUCUUUUGUGCGGGAAGAUAAUGACGGUACCGCAAGAAUAAGCCCCGGCUAACUUCGUG
rnacentral:rRNA from 1 species